GAGCCUGACCGUUCGCGUCCAGCAUGAUCAGAAAAAGAAUUUUCUUUUUCCAACUUUGGCUUUUGGUUUUGUGUUGUACACCUCGAGGCAGCUCCGGAGCCAGCCGACCCCAAAUGGAUUCUCAACAGGUGUCCGGUGUCAACGCACUAGAGCGGCCGUCUCACCUCCUGAGGUGUCUUCAUUCCCAGAGGGCCCGGACUCCCAGCCGCAGCCCAACACAGGGCCCGCGCGCCGGAGAGGAGGUGCUCCGACGGCAAAAAUCCCAUACAUUUUUAACUACAGUGAUUACUAAAUUAAUAGCAGGCACUAAGACAGAUGUCAAAACGUCUUGAAAAUGUUUAUCUGCGAAUAAUUGAGAAGGUGGUGGGACGCAUUAUCUGAUUGUGUAAUGAAAUAUGUAUGAGGAA